AUAGUGAGUUCCAGGUCAGUCUCAACUACAUAGUGAGACCCUGUCUCAAAAAACCAAAAGUGUGGUGCGGGGGGCUUCUGUAGACUGGUCUAUACCUCACAGCAUACUAGAAUCUUCAUAUGAUUCAGUACAAACUCAAGUAUACAAGAAAUAUUUUCUUUUUCGCAACUUAAUUUCUGGACUUGAGGUGUCACUGUGCCCUGUCAGUGACUUGACCUCCUCCCGCUGCCCCCUGUGCCUGGUAUCUGUGUGAGCAAAGGUUUCUUAAGAGUCAGCAGUGCCUUGGAAAGGAGAAGCCUCUGGUCUCUGCUUGCACAGCAGGCAGGGAGCCAAAGUCAGGCUCACUGGAGCAGCCCUGCCCCGUCGCCUGCUGCCGUCCUGGUCUGCUGCCACUGCCCCAUCCUCUCCAGCGGACCUUUAGCCUCCUCUCUCCCCAGUCCAAAGGAAAGUCUCUGUAGGCUAGUAGAAGUAUUUCUCCCUGCAGGACACUUGCCUCUCCCCAGGAAUUUUCUGUAAAACAAUCACACGAGAAGCACUACUUUCUCCCUUGCCACAAGCCUCCCCUCAGUGACGUGUGCCACCUUGCACUGGGGAGGUGGAAGAGGAGUAAAGACCAUUUCAAUGUCCUAAGGUAUCACUGAAGUCCAUUCCUUUGGAAAUACAGAAAAGAGAUUUCAAACAGCUGGCCUUUAAGUGAACCUCCCUGUAUGUCAGGGACUUAAAGUGCUCAGAUAAAAUUUCUGAUGCAAAGUGAUAUUGUAAGGGCAAACUACUCCACAGUGGCUUUUUUCCUAGCAUUUGCUAGAUGGUGACGUGUAGAUAAAUGUAUAUAAUUUGUAUGGAAAAGUAUUUUUAAAAGUUUUGUUUGACAUUAGCGUUGAAGAAAACCAAUCUCUUACCAGAUAGGAUUCAAAUGCUAUUUUAAACCCUCUCUAGUGGUACCAUCAGGGACAUAUGUAGAGUUUGCAGUUUGAUGUCCCAGGGCUUUCUGUCUCUCACCUCUGAUGUUUUGUAGAAAGGAGUCUUGAUAAGUAACAGAUACGUACGAUGGGAGAAGCAGCAUACAGGUGUUGUCUAACUUACACAUUAGUAGGGUGUACCCGGCUACCGUUUACCUGAUGCUUGCUCACUUAGAAAGUGCAUUUCUACCCCACUGCUUUCUAUGACCAAAAAAAUGCCCCUCCAAAUCUUAAAAAUGCUGUGAAUUUUUGCUGAAAUACUGAAAACUUAUUUCCAAACACUUCUUCAGAUCUCAUGGUGGACGUUCCUAGACGUGGGAAGGUGGUGGUGGACAUUGCGUAUGGCGGUGCCUUUUAUGCCUUCGUUAAUGCGGGACAGCUAGGACUUGAUGUCCUUUCUUCAAGGAUGAGGGACCUUGUGGACGGCGCUAGUGCAGUGACCGCAGCAGUGAAAGCUCAGUUUAAAAUUACUCACCCAGAGAGUGAAGACCUUGCCUUUCUGUAUGGAACUAUAUUAACAGAUGGGAAAGAUGCCUAUGACGAGGAACCAACUACCAACAUCUGUGUGUUUGCCGAUGAACAGGUUGACAGAAGCCCCACCGGGUCCGGAGUGACAGCGCGCAUUGCUUUGCAGUAUCAUAAAGGCCUCCUAGGCCUGAACCGGCCCAGGGCCUUCCGAAGCAGUGCGACAGGCUCUGUGUUCACAGGCAGUGCUGUGAGGGAAGCCACAUGUGGUGAUUUCAAAGCUGUUAUAGUGGAAGUGUCGGGACAAGCCCAUUACACAGGUACAGCAAGCUUCACAGUGGAGGAUGACGACCCCCUGAAAGAUGGGUUUCUUCUCAAGUGACCUCCAGGAUGCUUAGAAGCUUUCCUUCUAAAGUAAUGAUUAUCCAUAAGUAAUGCUUUCUCUACAUUAUGUGAAAACCAAUAUCCAGUUAUUCAUGUAAGCUAAUUUCCGUUCUUUUAAUAAUAGUAUAACCAUGGCUAAAUAGACAUUAUGCCUCAUAUUUGCUGAUAUAUUUUGGUACAAAUAUCACUUAAGUCAAGCAUGUAAAGUGCCAAAAAUUCACAACAUUUUCCAGUUAUUAACGUACCAAGCAAAAUUAAAAUCCUUUAAAAUGUAUGACGAUAAUAUUUUGUUUUGAAGGUCCUUUGAGUAAUAUCUGAAAUUGUACCCACGUCAACAAUGAACUUUACGAGUUCAUUAUUUUAGAGUUCUGUUUUGAGAAAAAUAACGCCUUCUAUAAGUAACAUGUACAGGAGUUGGAAGAAAAGGUACUCAACACUUAGCAUAAAUAGCCAAGGAGUACUGGGCGGAGCAAGCUGCUUUCCAUAGAAGUUACCACAGCAGCCCCGGGUGUCCUGUGUGUUCAGCACCAGCUCCUAUACACACAGCUACUGAAGAGCCAUAAACUCAUCCUGCAAAGACAAGCUAGCAGUCAGAUUUUUACUGUCUCUUUAAGGCUUUUAAGGCUUUGUAGGUUUGGGAAGGAACAAGCUCAGCAUCAUGAAUGCUAACAUCUGCUGUACCCCCAGCUUCUUUAAGGCUUUCAAAAAAGGAUUGCUUAGUACGUUACUGAAAUCCAGGUACAUGGUAGAAAUUCAUGAUCACUCCAAGGGAGUGAGUCAUACUCUUCAGCUGCAUGCUAGAUGGGUUUAAAACAUGAAAGAAAGGCUCAUUACUGGCACUCUCACUGGUACACUUAUCUCGGUUGUCACCAACAGAAGCACUCACUUAGUAGAUUCUUAGUGAAGGAGGUAAUAGUACCUUACUUCUGAUGCAAAAAAAAGAAGUUCAUGGUACUGGCUUCAUCACCAGCAGGUCAGCAUUACCCCAGUUAGACUAGGUCUGUGGUUUAAUUAAUUACCUGACCAAAAGAAAAACUAUAAAGUUAAUGUUUUGAUUUUCCUAUUAAUCAAAAAUGUUAUGCUGCUUUUUGCUGAAUCUUUAUAAAAUUCUGUGACAAUGAAGUCAUAUACCUCCAAGAAAUGACAGUUUCGCUAAUUCAGUGUGACCAAGUAAUUUUCUACAGAUUUGCUAUAUGUUUUUAAAAAACAAAACCAGAACCAUUAUUUUCUCCCCAAAUCUCAUUACAUUAAUUUGACAAAAAUAGUGUUCACAAGUUAGAUUUUGUAUUUUAUAAUGUGCCGUUCACAUAGUCUCUGCUUUAAUGACAUAUACCAGGAAAUGCGUGUGAUGAUUGACUGAUUUGUGUCAAUUUGAAUAAGAGAAGCUCAACUAAAUCGGCUCAGCAGUUCCACACGCUGGGGUGUGGAAGACCCAUCCUAGGGCAACCUGUCGCCCACCCAGGGGUGUAAAGGGGAGAUGAAGCAGGGCGGAUCUGCUUCUGUUUCACUUUGGACAUCGUCAGGCUUCCGUGGCAGACCCAUCGGCCUCCUGACUUGGCCUCGCAUGGACCAGUGCAGUGAGCUCCAGACCUUUGACUGGAUUCUUGGUCUCCAGUGGGCAGACGGACCCUCUGCCCUCCCACAUGUGACUCUGGGUGGCCGUUGUAAGCCAAUCUUGUAAAUUCUUUUUUUUUUUUUUUUUUUUGGUACCGGGGAUCGAACUCAAGACCUUGUGCUUACAAGGCAAGUGGUGGAACCGCUGAGCUAAAUCCCGCCCCCAGCCCAAUUCAUAACAUAUUUGUGAGUCCAGUGUUACGUGUUUCUCUAGUAAAUACUGACUGAUAGUAUAUUAGUAUCCCAUAGCUACCCAGACAGGGCAGUUUUAUCCCUGACAUUAUGUAGAAUCCUUAGUUCUUGAUGAUCGGCACCUCGGAUCAACCUCACUGUGGCCGGCCCUGCCCUCUGGCUCACCUGUGUUGUGUCGCUGUCAGUGUUCCAUGGUACAGGGCAUUUGCAGGCCAGACACAUUAACUCCUUACCAAGGGCCUUCCGGAGGGGAGGCUGUUAAUCUAGAACUUCUGAUUGCAACUCUGAUGUUUUCCUAGUACACUUCCUCCAUCUUUAAGAUAGGACAGCCAGAACUCACUCAAGAUAAGAUACUUUCAUGAAGAUGUUAUAUUUUUCUUGAGCAGCAGUGACUAUGACUCUGUACUUUGCCCUUUUUCCCCUGGAGAGAAAACCCUAGGGAGAGGAGCUCUCCUCUCCUCCCAUGUCCAGGCAGCCACAGAGCCAGCCCUGCACCUCCUAGACCGGGGAUGGCAAACCUUUCAGAGACCGAGUACCCACACUGCAACCCAAACCCACUCAUCGCAAGGGCCAGCGCUUCAGUUAAACCUGAAUACCCGAUGCGCAGUUGCUCGGGCAGUUCGUCCCUGUGUCCCUGCUGCACCCAUGUGCCCUAGCUUCACCUCCAGUUCUGGACCCUGCUUCCCUCACCUGCCCAUCUCUGCAAGGGCCCCACUUCAUCAUCUGAGUCGUCGUGGUGUCACCUGGAGCCUUUCCCUUGGCAUUCCGGCUUCCAGACGUCUCACUGCCUGCGUUUCCUCACCCCCCGUUUUCUCCUUAGCAGCUGUAGUCUGGGUUCUUCUCGUUCCGUGACGCAAACUGCUUGACCUAAAUGUCACACCUGAAGUCACCGUGGAGUUUAUGGAACACUUGUUGGAUGCUGCUUUGUGCUCCUUGCAGGGAGGUGUGUAGAUUAGCGCGCCUCUUGGUGCUGUGCUUACCCACAGCGCCGCUCAGUGUGACACCUAGGCCGUUCGUUGGGGCCUUAGAAUGGCACGGCCCCCACUCAACCCUGUAGUUGUAUGCACCUUGGUCCAGCUCCCCAUCAUGAACUUCUCUUCAAAGGCCACCAGUGCCACGCCAUCCCUUGGGGCUGCUGCUUACACAUCCACGUGUGAAUCACCUGGGAAUCUGAAAGUGCGGGUUUCUCAUUCAUGAGGCCUGAGGUGGGUUUUGUCUAAUAAAUUCCGGGGGCGCUAAAGCUGCUGGUAGUGGACUGCACUUCGAGGAACAGAACUCUGACAACUCCCUCUUGUCUGUUUUGGCCCAGGUUUUUCAGGUGAGUUUCCCUACGAGGCAACUUCUCUUAGUUCUGAAAUACUGUACAUGAAAAGCCUGUUUUUCAGCUAAAGCAUAGAGAACACAAACUACUUGCAGACUCAAAAGAAACUGAGGAAAUUACCUCACCCUGUCUUCUGAAAACAAAAACCAUGAGAGAGCCGAUUUCUCAGACCAAAGUGCCUCAGUGACUACUAUCACCCCUGCAACUUUCUCAGCUUCCUUCUAACUGUUUAACUUUCACUGCUCCCUAGGCAUUGCGUCCAUGGCUUCAUCCUUCACUCAUAUUCUGUACCUAAGUUGUCACGUUUGUACCAUGGUUUUCUGUCUCAUAAAGCGCUGACAACCCGACUAAAUCCUGAGGUCCAGAGCCGCAGUGCAGACUCACCAUUUGCAGGGACAACAUUCACCCGCUGAGAAGGUGCCCUCUUCCCAAAUCCCCUAACUCGGUCAUUGGCACUGCCCUAUAGGCCACCAGCCCCCAGGGAAGCUGGGGUUUAUCUGUGGUUCUUAGGCACAAGCUCUGUCCUUUCUGCUGGUGCUCAGGACCGGAUGUCAAGGGUGUGACCCGCGUUCCUUUCCUUUCGGAAACUGCUUCCUCAUCACGUGGUCCUGCCGGAAGUGCUGGAAGCUGGCGCAUCAGUCAGAUCCUCACUGCAGGACAUGAGGCUGUGAGGAAGGAUGUGGUUUGAAAACAGACUGUAGCUGGAAAGUGAUGGUGCCGGGAGAACGUCACCUCCGUUAGUUUUGUCUUUCUCUACCCAGACGCCUCCUAUUUGAGGGGCUGGCUUUCAGACUGAAGUAUAAUUUGAGCUUGCCCUAUCCUAAUACUUUUGUUUGCUUCUGUAAGCCAGUGUCCUCACUGUGAGCAUCUCUUCUUUCCUAUAAAUGCAGACCAGCUCUCUUCCCACCUGGGCUACAGCACUGCCUUUUCUUCUGGAUUAUUUUCCUAAAGUCACUCAAAACACUUCUUGUACAUCCAGCAGACAAGUGCUAAGUAUCAGCUACUUAAUACACAGCCAAAUGAAGGGAGGCAGCAAUCCUUGGGAAAUCACAAGGGUGUAAUUCUAGGCAAUGGUUAUAUUCUCCAAGUGGAAAGUACAGGGUGCUGUGACACUGACCAAGAAACGGGACACGUGGGGGUAGGGGAUGCCACGUAAGAGACUCCUGAGGGACAAAUCUUUAUGUGGGGAGAACAUGAGGGAGUUGGAGGAGGAGAGCUUUCUAGCCAAGAGGAUGGCAGGUGUAAUCGCCCAGAUGAGAGAUUUAAGGAACUCAAAGAGACCAGUGUGACUGACUUAAGACUUCUAAAGAGCAUUUGUCCUGCAGAGCGGAAAGGGGCCUGGAGUGGGCAAGACCACUUAGGGGAGAUUCAGGUGCGGGAGGAAGCAAAUGGGAAUGCACAUGAAGAUCCUGAACAAGUGAAAGAAAUCCCCAGGUCCUGCAGAUGGAUUGGAUGAUGGCUGAAUGUGAGGAGGGAUUCAUCAAGAAAGAAACUUAAUGGAUGAUGAUGCCGUCUUCUGAUACAGACCGCUGAGGAGCAAGGUUUCAAGGAAAGUGGGAGGAGGCCUUGAACUCCCUUUUGAAUGUGAUUGAGGUCCCAGGGGAGACAGACACCAUGCAGAGAGAUAGGUGGGCUGGACCCUAAGAUUGGGGCCCUCCCUUCUCCCUCAGUGCAGCCCCAGGGAGCUUCCACUAUUUGUCUUUUCACCCUCCAAAUCCCCCCUGCCUUUUCCUGGAAUUCACUGUGUAGCCUAGGCUGGUCUCAGACUCACAGCGAUCCUCCUGCCUCAGCCUCUUUCCUUUGGGGAGGGAGAAUCCUGUCGCAUCUCCAUCUGCUACCCUAAGAAGUGCUAGUCGCCUCCAUAGAAUUCCACUGGGUAUCGGAAUCAGGACCUUGCACUUGUGAAGCAGGCAGCAGAACCACUGAGCUAAACCCCUGGCCCAGCCACUCCUAUAUUCUUGACCUGGUGCCUGGCUUUAGGUGAGUCUCUUCAGAGCUCAGGCUCCAGUUUUGUUUUUGAUUUUGUUUUGCCGUACUGGGGGUUGAACUCAGGCCCUUGCACUUGCAAGGCAGGCACGGUGCCACUGAGCUUAUCCCCAGCUGCCACUCCUGUAUUUUUAAUUCUUAUCGACCUGCAAUACAUUUGUUUUUGCCUGAGGCUGUAGGCCUCUUUGGUAAAGAAUUAAGUGGUUUUUUCCCCCUAAAACUAAGCAUAAUGUUGGAUGAUCGUGUUUGCAAAAUAAAUGAAUCUGUAAUAAUUCUACUUUUGUCCUUAUUGAUGCUCAGCUGUAGUUGACUUCCCUUGAGGUAAAAU